rnacentral:ncRNA from 1 species
UGUUUGGAGAGUUUGAUCCUGGCUCAGGACGAACGCUGGCGGCGUGCUUAACACAUGCAAGUCGAACGGAAAGGUCUCUUCGGAGAUACUCGAGUGGCGAACGGGUGAGUAACACGUGGGCGAUCUGCCCUGCACUUCGGGAUAAGCCUGGGAAACUGGGUCUAAUACCGGAUAGGACCACGGGAUUCAUGUCCUGUGGUGGAAAGCUUUUGCGGUGUGGGAUGGGCCCGCGGCCUAUCAGCUUGUUGGUGGGGUAACGGCCUACCAAGGCGACGACGGGUAGCCGGCCUGAGAGGGUGUCCGGCCACACUGGGACUGAGAUACGGCCCAGACUCCUACGGGAGGCAGCAGUGGGGAAUAUUGCACAAUGGGCGCAAGCCUGAUGCAGCGACGCCGCGUGGGGGAUGACGGCCUUCGGGUUGUAAACCUCUUUCACCAUCGACGAAGGUUCGGGUUUUCUCGGAUUGACGGUAGGUGGAGAAGAAGCACCGGCCAACUACGUGCCAGCAGCCGCGGUAAUACGUAGGGUGCGAGCGUUGUCCGGAAUUACUGGGCGUAAAGAGCUCGUAGGUGGUUUGUCGCGUUGUUCGUGAAAUCUCACGGCUUAACUGUGAGCGUGCGGGCGAUACGGGCAGACUAGAGUACUGCAGGGGAGACUGGAAUUCCUGGUGUAGCGGUGGAAUGCGCAGAUAUCAGGAGGAACACCGGUGGCGAAGGCGGGUCUCUGGGCAGUAACUGACGCUGAGGAGCGAAAGCGUGGG